GUCGUCUCUGUUCCUAUGUACUAUUUAGUCCAAAACAGAAACAGAGAAAUUCUCCGUUGACAAAAUUUCAAUUCCCUUAAAGUAGUUUCAUGGUAUACCACAAUCUUGGAUUGUGCACUCGCAGUACACAAUCGGUCUAGUUAUUUGCAAACAAUCUGCAAUAUAUUGGUUAGACUGUUUAUUAUAUAUAAAGAAAACUCAGUGAUUUGUUGCAUUAUCCAAAAUAUUUAAACAAGUAUCAAACAGUUGUGUUUUUAGAAUCAAAUUUUAAACUUUUAAGGGGAGAUAACUCUUGAAUUGAAGAAUUUUUUUAUACUAAACUGACAGGUAUUUUUUUUAUUUUUUUGCCAAGUUUGGCGACAUCAUUUUUUUUUUAUUUUUUUAAGACAUAUUAUAAAUUUUAUCUUCUCACAACUUCUUUUAAAAUUCUAUCUCAUCAAUUUCUUUUUAUGCUCAUUUAUUUUUUCUUUUCGACGAACAUUUUUUUUAAUGAUGCAUAGCUUGACCUAUACUCUU
rnacentral:lncRNA from 1 species